GAGAUGAAAGAAUGAGCUUCUAACUCAUAACUCAGCAAAAUUUGUUGUCAUCUCU
rnacentral:tRNA from 1 species